CCUGAGGAAUAAUGGUGAUCUUCGAGCGCAAGCCAUGUAGUCCAAUAUCUGAGAUAUCAAUGCCAUCAAUUAGAAUCCUGCCUUUGGCUGCUUCUAAUAUUCGGAACAAAGCCAUUGUAAGAGUAGAUUUACCAGAGCCUGUUCUGCCAACUAUUCCAAUCUAGAAUAAAUGAAAUCUUCAGAGUCUAUUUAUAGUACUUAUUUUAUCG
rnacentral:lncRNA from 1 species